rnacentral:rRNA from 1 species
UAACCGUAUAGGGGAGCCGGAGGGAAACCGAGUCUUAACUGGGCGUUAAGUUGCAGGGUAUAGACCCGAAACCCGGUGAUCUAGCCAUGGGCAGGUUGAAGGUUGGGUAACACUAACUGGAGGACCGAACCGACUAAUGUUGAAAAAUUAGCGGAUGACCUGUGGCUGGGGGUGAAAGGCCAAUCAAACCGGGAGAUAGCUGGUUCUCCCCGAAAGCUAUUUAGGUAGCGCCUCGUGAACUCAUCUCCGGGGGUAGAGC